GGAGGGGGCUAGCGUUGUUCGGAAUUACUGGGCGUAAAGCGUACGUAGGCGGCUUUGUAAGUUAGAGGUGAAAGCCCGGAGCUCAACUCCGGAAUUGCCUUUAAGACUGCAUCGCUUGAAUCAUGGAGAGGUGAGUGGAAUUCCGAGUGUAGAGGUGAAAUUCGUAGAUAUUCGGAAGAACACCAGUGGCGAAGGCGACUCACUGGACAUGUAUUGACGCUGAGGUACGAAAGCGUGGGGAGCAAACAGGAUUAGAUACCCUGGUAGUCCACGCCGUAAACGAUGAUAACUAGCUGUCGGGGCUCUUAGAGCUUCGGUGGCGCAGCUAACGCGUUAAGUUAUCCGCCUGGGGAGUACGGCCGCAAGGUUA
rnacentral:rRNA from 1 species